UGGGGAAUUUUGCACAAUGGGGGGAACCUUGAUGCAGCGACGCCGCGUGAGGGAUGGAGGCCUUCGGGUUGUGAACCUCUUUCGCUCGUGUGCAAGCCGCUAUUUGGGUAGUGGUGAGUGUAGCGGGUAAAGAAGCGCCGGCUAACUACGUGCCAGCAGCCGCGGUAAUACGUAGGGCGCGAGCGUUGUCCGGAUUUAUUGGGCGUAAAGGGCUUGUAGGCGGUUUGUCGCGCCUGUCGUGUAAUCCUCUGGCUUAACUGGGGGUGUGCGGUGGGUACGGGCAGGCUUGAGGGCGGUAGGGGAGAUUGGAAUUCCUGGUGUAGCGGUGGAAUGCGCAGAUAUCAGGAGGAACACCGGUGGCGAAGGCGGGUCUCUGGGCCGUUACUGACGCUGAGGAGCGAAAGCGUGGGGAGCGAACAGG
rnacentral:rRNA from 1 species